rnacentral:rRNA from 1 species
CAGUUCAGAUUGCAGGCUGCAACUCGCCUGCAUGAAGUUGGAAUUGCUAGUAAUCGCGAAUCAGAAUGUCGCGGUGAAUACGUUCCCGGGCCUUGUACACACCGCCCGUCACACCAUGAGAGUCGAUAACACCCGAAGCCUGUGAGCUAACCGUAAGGAGGCAGCAGUCGAAGGUGGGGUUGAUGAUUGGGGUGAAGUCGUAACAAGGUAAC